ACAAAACACUAGGUUGCCUUUGGUGCAAUCUAUGCUCAGGUAAAGAAGAAGGCAUCGAGGCGGAUCUCCAGGAGUUCUAGGGCUUCGAUGAGUUCGAGGAUUAGGCUAGCGACCUCCCCCAGUCAGCUGCCUGUGGUGGGUUUAUUUACGUUGGCUACGUUUCUAUUCUGUGUACUUUGAUUUUACUAUGUAAAUGACUCUAGUCUUUCAUAUUAUUACUUACCCUUUAUUGUUAUUCGAAGCAUUGUGCCAUGAUGAGUCAUUUAUGUAAUCGCUAUGUACGUGAGUUCUGAUCCUGGCACGUACAUGGUUCGCAUUCGGUUUACCUUCCAAAACCGGGUGUGACAUAAGUGGUAUCAAAGCCUUGCUGACUGUAGGACCGCUAUCCUAGAGUAGCACUGGCCAUUUUAAGGACUUAUUGAUUAUUACUUCACCUCAUCCUUGAUUCUGAUUCAAAAUAUUAGUCACCUCGACUAAUUCUAUGUUGUGCUCCUAUAUGCCCCCUUGCCAAAAAGUAUUUUAUUCUAGUAUGGUCUAUACUUCUCUCAAUCUAUUAGAUCUGAUCUCACUCUUGUGCUUGCGUCAUCUUUGUAGAUGCCCCCUGACCAUAACCUUCUUGUCUUUUUGGGAUUCUUUUCUCUUUCGUCAUUAAAUUGCUACUAUCUGGCAAACUCUAGUCCUUUGGUAUUGACAUGCUUGUAUUCCUUUAAUACUCUUGUUUCAAGUACUUACCUCUGAAUUUAUACUGCCUACUUAAACACUUUAGUUUAUAUGUCCAUGAUCAUCCUGUCUUUUGAGACCCUUUCCUAUUCUGUUGUUAAGUUGCUAUCUUUCGGCAAUUCGUACUCCCUUGGUCUCGGUAUGCUUGCACCUUCGUAAUCUUGCAUACUCUUACUUUUUAUAUAAAUGCUUACCUUUGUACCCCAAUGUUUGUUUAACAUUUCAGUUUACAUACUCUUGACCACAUUUGUUUCUUCAUGAUCCAUGAGCGAUCGUUCCAUUCCUCACAUCCUUAAUGAUCUCAUCGUUUCCAUAUAACCUCCCUCGGUAAUAUUUUAUUUUACUUCAACCAUUAUGUUGGAACCUUACCUACCUUACUCGUGAUUGUUUUCUCCAUUUCGCCAUUUCGUGAGUCUUGCCUUAACUCCAUCCUUUCUUAUGCUCUUCAUUAUUACCACCUUUACCCUUGACACUUCUAUAUAUUGCAUUGAUGUUCAUCUUAUACCUACCCUUUAAAAUCUCCUCUCUUCCAUCUCAAUCUGAGAGUUGUAACUUACCGACUUUUUCCUUGGUCAUAUCCUCUUCUUUGUCACCUGCGAGUUUUUAACUCUAUCCUUUGUUGUGUUUUGUUUGUUAUUUCCUUUACCCUUCUCAUCACUCUAUCCUACCUUGUGAUUACGUUAUGUCUGUUAUCUAAAAUCUCCAAUCUCCUAUCUCAAUGUGAGAGCGGUGUUUUACUUACCUCACCCUUGGCUAUAUCCUCUUCUUUACCGCUUGUAAGCUUGGGCGCAACUCUAUUCUUUGUUGUACUCAUACCACUGGCUCUCUAAUGCCUUCAUCUUUUCUCUCAUACCCUUGUAUGUUGUCGCCUUUGACCCUUGCAAUAUUGAGGCCUUCUACCUAAAUGUUUACUUUGAACCCAUUCUUUAAAAGUCUCCCCUUUCUUUCAACCCAGUUUGAGAGAUGUGAGUUACCUAUCUCUCCCUUGAUUUCUUUUCACUUCUUAUCACUUUACAAGUUUUGUCUUAAUUCCAUCCUUUGCUGUGUGUUUUAUUUGCUAUCACCAUUACCUUGUCAUCCAUCGGUCUUGCCUUGAUACUUAUCUUUAUUAUUGCUCUUUAAAAAAAUCUCCUCUCUUCCACCUCAAUUUGAGAGUGGCAGUUUACCUAUCUGGCCCAUGGACGUACCCUCUCCCUUUCCAUUUUCAGGUCUUGUCUUAACACCAUCCUUUGUGGUAUUUAUAUUCUUGGUUCUUAUGCACAUUUACCUCCUCUCCUACAUCCUUGUUCGUUAUCACCUUUAAACCCUCGUGAUACCUAUGCCCUUGCCACAUGCCUACUUUGAACCUACCCUUUAAAACCACCUCUUUUUCAUCGCUGUUUGAGGAUAAUGCCUCACCUACUUCACCAUUGAUUGCUUCCCCUUCUUUGAUGCCUCACAAGUUUUGUCUAAAAUACAUCCUUGGUUGUGUUUGUCUGUUAUCACCUUAACCCUUGUCAUCCAUCGAUCUUUACCUUGAUGCUUAUCAUGUACCCGUAUUUUAAAGCUUCCUCUCCCAUUUGAGUUUAAGAGUGUUGUCUUACCUCUCCUCGCUCUUGUUCGCUCCCUAUUCCUAUGUCGUGUUGCAAGUCUUGUCUUAACUCGAUCUUUUGGUGUGCUUUUGCCUGUUACCUCUUGUACCUUUGUAAUCACUAGAUCUUUCCAUGAUGCUUAUCCUAUGCCUACCUUUUGAAAUAUCUUCUUUCCCAUCUCGAUGUGAGAAUGGUGUUUUACCUAUCCUGACCUUGGUUGCAUUCUCUCCCUGUCGGUUACAAUUCUGGCUUUAGCUCCAUCCUUUAUUAUGCUCAUGCCUCUAUCCUGCAUGUAUUAUUAUUCCCCUUGCCUUUCAAUGGCCUUAGUGUAGUUUCCCCUUUGUAAGGAAAGACCACCAUCUAGUUAACAUUAACGUGUAGCAACGAGAUGCCUGUUGUUGUGUGCUUGUGUUGUUUGUCUUUGUGUGAUGACUGAUUUGCUUCUUUGUGAUGAGUGUUGAUGUGUUGUGGCCCUUGGUCCGCAAUGACAUCAGUUACUAGCUGAGUGCCAUAGAGUUAAGUAGUUGGGUUCUCCCCCUGCUCUCUCUAAUCCGUCUAUACUUACCUUUUCUCGCUACCCUUCCCUCUUGCACCUGUCUGGUUGGCAACCUCCAACUCCUCUAAAUCAGUCAAGAUCAGAGUCGGCAACAUCUUCACCAAGUGCAUAUCGACGCUCCUGUUAAGGGGGUUAGCCGCUAACUCCAAUGAAGACAAUGUGAUCAACAUCAACAAACAAGAUCAAAGUGCGCAGCGGAAGCGUGUGUGGGUCCUAACCCACAGGUCUAAGAGAUCCUCAAGAAUUGCAUCAAUCGGUCUCAAGCAUCUGAAGGUCAAAGCAACCAGUCCGCAAGUUAAGGUUUCCAGAGUCAAAGUUGAGUUAGGAGAAGCCAUGAAAGACCAAUGAACCAAUCUCAUUUUCUUGCUAGCCUCUUCUUGAAUCUCGAGGGCGAGAUUCUGUUAAGGGGGUUAGAUUUGUAACACCCUGAAUUUGGGGUAUAAAAUUUUUUUCUAAUAUUCACCAAAUUCAGUUUUUACUCCCUUCUUUACUUGCUUUUCUUCUGUUUUUCUAGAUAAUGGACAUUAAAUUUAUUAUAUAUAUAUAUAUAUAAAUAUAUCAGUUUUUGGCGUAGUAAAAUAAAACCCCAAAGAAACUUUGAUUGUUGCAUUGAUGUCGUUGUAUAGUGUUUCUAAGGGUAAAGCAUAUUUGAACAUGUUAAUAUACCUCGUAGAAGUUUCUAGUAAAAUUUUCAUAUUUUUCUGAGGUUUUCCGUUUUCCAAAAAUAAAAUCAAAACCUAUGUAUUUGAGACACCUAAAAAUAUUUUUAGAGACUCCAAAUAUUUUAUUUGUGUUGUUUAGGUGUAUGCCUUAAUUACUAAUUAAUUUCCUUUGGUCUUAACUCCAAAAAGAAAAUCCCUAUACCUAUUUUUUUUUCUUUCCUCACGUGGGUUGCAUGGAGGAGGAAUUAUAUUGGUUUUUCUUUUUUCUUUUCAUUGCAUGCGGAAGUUAGGCUAGAUGCAGUUUCGUUGCCACCUCUUUGCAUGCACGCGUCCGAGGCUUUCUCCUGCUGGUGCGGACGUACAGUUUCUCAGUGCCCACGUCGCCUCCUCUCUCACCAAUAUCCGCCGCGCUUGCCGCAUGUUGAGUCUCCCCGAGUAGAUCGCCAUUGUCCCUGCACCAAGCACACCGGAGAACUGACGUCGGCCACGAACCUCCGUCCCAAGGCUUGCGGCUCUUGGGAAACUGCCGUGUUCACUCCCCGCCGCGCCGGAGCUCCGUUAAGCCGUUGCCGCGACAUUCUCCGUCGAGAUCCGUUUCGAGGUGAGAAAAUAUCAUGCGUCGUUUGAUUUCUUUUCUCGGACCUCGUCUUGAUGUCGAUCUGCUAUCACUCACCCCAACGUCGCGCUGCUGUCUGCUACCCUGCCUUGCCCGCUAUGCCACCGUGUUGUAGAGAUGUAGUCGCGUCGGCCAUGGUCGUCAGCCGUCGUGCAUCAACACAGCGCUUGCCGAGCCUCACCGUUGCUGCUCCGCAAGUCGCCACACAUGCUCGUGAUAGUGUCCCCUCCCACCGGCAUCGCCUCGCCCCCUGGCCUCCACUUCCCCAGCGCGACAGGAUCCAUCCCACCCCUGUGCAGUGCUCGUGCGUCCAGCCAUGGGCAGGCGCGAUGACGCCCGGGCAUGUGUGUCCCCUGCUGGUAGCGCAGCUGGCUGCCUCAGCCGAACCCGCCCUCGUCUAGCUCCUGCAGCUCCUGCCGAGUCCCAUGGAUGGUCAUCUCUCUCUUCUAUGCUGCUGUUCAACGAAGAAGAAAGCCCCUUGCCGUGUCCGUGCGGUUGUAAAAAGAAUGGGAAGAAGCUAGCCACAUGUGAUCCUAAGCUUGGGAUCUUCUAUGGCUACGUCUGGUGAGACCAUAGGUGUGGCCAACCGCUAGCAAUAAUAAUUAGCCGCAUCGCUUAAAAUCUCUGAAGUAUUAAAUAUUUGAUAUAUGUUGCGUUAUAAAUCCAAUUCUCUUCGUUCAAUUUGCAUGAGCUUCGUAAUAUCGUCACCGACGAGUUAAUAAUAUUAUUAUAUCGUGCCACAUUUUUUAACUAAUUAAUUGAUCAUUUGUUUAUCCGAUGGUUAUUAAAGUAGUGACCUAAUCAAAACUAAUGUAUAAUUUUAAUUUGCGCAAGUAUAAAUAAACGUUAACAUGAGUCAUGCCAACCUAAAUAUUUAUUUAGUUGUUUAUUUAACAUUUGUUCAUUGUAAACACGACAUCUGUUAAUGGUUCCCCGCUCGUCGCGCUGUUCACGCACGUCGUCUCCUCGCUGUAGCGUUUGCGAGUUCACAGCUUGCGAUGUAGCCGCGCAUUGCUUGCGAGUUGUCGCAUGUGCUGCUCGUGCUUUUCGCACUCGCCUCUCGUGCUGUUCGCAUAUGUGGUGCUCGUUGUCGUCGUGUUGUUCGUGCGUCUAGUUCGUGCGUUAUUCGCGUGUUGUCGCGCGUCGUUCACGCGUGUCAUGCGUGCUGUUCGCACACGUUGUCACACGUCGUUUGCGUGCGUCGUGUGUGCCAUUUAUACAUGUCGCUCGCCUUGCCGCGCAUUGUUCACGCGUAUCUCGCUUGUCGAUCACGUGUGUCGCACGGCGUCUGCGUGUGAUAAUAAAUUGUUUUAGCUUAUAAGCACUCAUGUUAGUACCGUUAAUCCAUCAGGUCAUAUAUGUUAGAUAAUUAACUUAAGAUUCGCUCGACUAAUAUUUAUUAGACUAAUAUUUCAAUUAGAUUAAAUAUGUAUUGUUCAACUGCGCUUUUAUAAUAAAUAUUAACAUGACCAAUAUUAACUUAACUGCUUUUAAUUAUUUAAUAUUGGUUUGGUAUAAACGCAUCACCUAUUUAGUUUUCCUCGUCUGGCACGCGUGUUGUUCCGCACUUGGUGGCGUGCUGGUUGGCGCGACGUUCGCGCUCGUCGCGCGCGCUGUUUCGUGUAUCGUCAGCGUGCUAUGUCGCGCGUGUCCGCGCGUCAUUUGCAUGCUGUCGUGCUGUUUCACGUGUCAUAAAUUCAUCUCGCUUAGAAUCUCUCUUUUUAAUUAAAUUAUUUAUUUAACUGAUAGCCGUUAGUGUAGCAGAUUAAUUGAACUGGCUGAUGUAUAAUAUUUAUAUUUGACAAAGUUGAACUAAAAGUUAUAGCUAAUACUUGUUCAACGUUAACGCGCCAACUUCCCAACCGUAGCUUCGACUAUCGCAUUUCUUUUUCCUCGCGUGACCGUAGUAACGCGCUCUAUUUCGUUUUGCAUGCUUUAUUAUGUUCUCUUUGGCAUGGUGUAAUGUUCUUAUGCAUAUAUAUGUUUGUUUGCUUGUGUCUGUUUGUCUUUGCUUUGCGUCGCGAAUAGAUUGCGAUCUAUUUCCGAGCUUCAAGGGAUCAAAGAUCGAGCGUUGGCGACCAAGAGAUCAAGCUUUUUGAGGUCUACAACAUUGAACACCAUGAGCAUCUGUUUGGUGAAGGCAAGUGUUCUCUGACCCAUUAUGUCCCAUUUACUUUAUAAUACACUGUCCCGCAUACUAUGAACAACCUAAGGAUUUACUAGCUUUCUAUUUACCUUGUCCUUGAUUUACCGUUUGGGUUACUAUGGUUAGCUACAUGCUAGCGCUUUACUUUAAUCAAUGAACAUGAUGAGAUACAAUAAUGAUACUAUGAUUUUAUUCUGGAUAUGAUGAUAUACUUGUGGCAUUUAGGGGACUCGGGCUGUUUCCCGAGUACCUCUCCGUAAGGACCUGUUCGUUGAGAGACCACCCGAGAUAACAGUGCAACCAUGAGGGUGAAAUGGGAUGCCCUUAGCUAAUUAAUUAGAGGAACUAGAGGUGUAGUUGCUUCGUCGUCGUGCCGUCAAUGGGGUCCAGGCACAGUGCUUGCUCUGCCGAGGCUGGGUGCCGAGGUUCUUUCGUUUUGCUUUUGUUAGUCACCCCUCUUUGGGGAGAGGUACUGUGUUUAUCAAACUGGAGAAACCUAACGGGCGGCUAUGACCUCUAGGGAAUCUUUGUAAAAGCUACGUAGUGAUACCCUGCCGGACCACCUAGGAAGUGAUCAAUGGGGAGUCAUGAUCCCCGGGAAAAAAGGGAAUCACGGCUCAUGGGUAAAGUGUGUGACCUCUGCAGAGGAUUAGAAACUGAUAUAUCAGUCGUGCUCACGGUUAUGAGCGACCUUGGGAUCCUCUUUGAUUAGAGAUACAUAUGAUAUGAGAUGCAAUGGUUCUAUUGAUAGUUUUGACUCGAUGAUGAUAAUGAUGUUUUCUCGAUGAGGAAAUGGUUCACGGGUUGGCUAUUACUAAAACUUGGCUUCCACUAAUAAUAAAUACUUGACCAACUAAAAGCAACUGCUAGAGCUUAACCCCACAUAAAUCUAGUCCACUACAGCCAAACGGGACGUUUGCUGAGUACGUUGAUGUGUACUCACCCUUGCUUUCACAAAACACUAGGUUGCCUUUGGUGCAAUCUAUGCUCAGGUAAAGAAGAAGGCGUCGAGGCGGAUCUCCAGGAGUUCUAGGGCUUCGAUGAGUUCGAGGAUUAGGCUAGCGACCUCCCCCAGUCAGCUGCCUGUGGUGGGUUUAUUUACAUUGGCUACGUUUCUAUUCUGUGUACUUUGAUUUUACUAUGUAAAUGACUCUAGUCUUU
rnacentral:lncRNA from 1 species